AGAGCAACAUCUAGUAAAUUAAUUAAAAUUUAGGUGCCUUUACAUAAAUACUAACCUCCAUAUGAACUCCACCCCCUUCCGUUACUCAUUAAUGAAUCCUUAUACCCCAUGUUGAAGAGAUGUUCCUAUAUUCGUAAUGAUAGUUGAGUAGGUGGAGUUUUUUAGGUGGAUGUUUUUAAGGUAGCACAUUUUUGCCAUUAACCAACAAAAGAGACUCGGCCACAGAAGGGCAUGUUGAAGGCACUAAAUGAAAAAGGCUAGCUCAAAAUUUUCAUGAGGUGCAACAUACGUCAACAAUGAUACACUAAAUACGCUGUUAAUCAAGUUAGUCUUUCCAAAUUCAGCCUGGGAAAUGUCUUUACACUUUACAGUACUAUGAAAGAACUUGUUGAGAAUGCACUUGAUUCUGCGGAAUCCAUCUCCGAUCUUCCAGUUGUAGAGAUAACCAUUGAAGAGAUUGGUAGAAGUAAAUUCAAUUCCAUGAUUGGUCUGGCUGGCCAUGAACUUAGAUAUGAAGCCAGAUAUUAUGAUUUGAGACAGCAAAGGCUCAUAAGAAAAGACUUGCCAAGGAAGCUCGGGUUCUAGAGAUUCAAGCAAGGAAUGUUGCUCUCGAGAAUAAUGUAAAAGACCCUGCAGCUACAAGGGCAGCUCGGUAGGGAGGCAUCAUAUUAAAAGGAUAAUGGUAGAGGAAUGCCACAUGAUCAUCUGCUGUUUGUGAGCGUUACUUGUGUGAACAAAGUAUGCAUUGAAACAGACACGUGGGAACUUCUGUCUUUGUGCAAAGAUGGCCUUGAUUUGGUCCAAGAUGAAAUCCAUAUUGUCAUUGAAAGGAACUGGACAACGUACCGAGUGCAGUUCUUGAAUAGUUGUGGCAGAUGUUCUCCUAAGUUCUCAUUCAUGCGUUGAAAGCAAAUUUCGUAAAACAAUUCACCUUCCAUAUUUCUGAAAACUGAUCUUUUGAACUCAUCAGUAAAGCUCCAAGCAAAGGAGUACAAAUUCACAAAGUUACUGAGUAACCCAAAUCAUGCUGAUGAUCAAAAUAUUGAUUACUUAAGUAAAUUCAACAGAAAGAUAGAAGAUCAUUGAAAGAUAAAAAUGGAAGUAAUGUGCCCUUUCCCCCGGGCUUUGGACUAAUGGUGAGAGAGUAGCUCAUGAUGUAAUAAUAGAAGAAAAAGAGCAACAUGUGAUGUGUGGGUUAGGCGCAUGUAAUGGAUUUGAACCUUGCUGCAGAAACGAGCCUGGUAUUUAAGCUGAUAACUGUAGAGAGGCGGUUCCUUAUCCACUAAGUUUUAAUUUGUUAAUGCUGAGAAGGUUGCUGUAUCUGGGAAAGAAGAGCCAAAAACUUUAUAGGAGGCACUCCAGCAGUGGAGACUUUUGAACAACUGCGACAGAGAAUCCCUGAAAGAAUCAUUAAACAUGCUGUCGGUGGCAUGCUUCCCAAAGGGGGUGUCAUUAUGCUUUACUAUUUGUGUUUUUUCAUUCUAUACCUAUAUGAGUUUUCUUAAUUAUGUUGAUUAACCUAAAGAAGAUGUUUGGCAAUUUACGUAUAAUGUUGGGGACUAAGUAUUAGUUAUUAGAGACUCCAUUAAUAACUCUCAUCUCCCAUAGCGGUAGCACCCAUGGAACUUACAAUAUACUUGUGUGUGUGUGUAAUAUUUAUUUCUACACACACAUAUAAACCAACCCCACUUGGAACUAAUUAUUUUAAAUCCUAGAUAGCCUGUGCAUAAAAGAGUAUUACUUCUUCGAAUGGAGGGUUGUAUUGCUUUUGUUUACACUUCUAAAUCAAGGCAGAUGUGAAUUAUGCAAUGGUGUCUUCUCAUGCUUUUCUCGUUUUCUUUAUCGUGUGCAUGUAGACCUCGCUCAAAUAAAAUUGAUUUAAUCGGAAUUGGUGGUGAUUGCACUUGCUUUGCCUUGAAUCAGUGGUUACUAUCAGUAGAAAUUUUUUUUUUCUGCAUUUGUUUUACAUUUUAUAUACUUCAGAUGCUAAAAUGAUUCAAUAUUCUGUUUAUGCAGCUUGGUGGACAACUAUUUACACAUCUUAAGGUGUAUAAAGGUCUUGAACAUCCUCAUGAGGCACAAAAACUUGUUGAAUUGACCCAUUAGAGACAAGAGGAUACAGAAGCAACGGUGAAUUUUAAGUGAUUCCACCAAGGAGAAGCUCUCAUUUUUAGCUGUUGAUACUCCUUUAAGUUGUCUGUUUAACUUCAUAUUUGAACGGUAAUAUUGUACCUAGGCUCCUGCCUUUCUUCUGUAUGUUUAUUGUAGAAGUUCUAAUGAAUAUUUCUUAGAUGGCUUUUCAAGUUA